GACGAACGUUGGCGGCGUGCUUAAUACAUGCAAGUCAACUGAAGCAGUGGUAGCAAUAUCGCUGUGGAGGUGGCGCACGGGUGAGUAACACGUAGGUAAUCUGCCUUCAGGUCUGGCAUAACUCCGGGAAACCGGGGCUAAUAGCAGAUGAUGCAGCGGCUCGACAUCGAGACAGUUGUUAAAGCUAUGGCGCCCGAAGAUGAGCCUGCGUCUGAUUAGCUAGUUGGCGGGGUAACGGCCCACCAAGGCAACGAUCAGUAGCUGGUCUGAGAGGAUGAUCAGCCACACUGGAACUGAGACACGGUCCAGACUCCUACGGGAGGCAGCAGUAAGGAAUAUUGCUCAAUGGGAGAAAUCCUGAAGCAGCAACGCCGCGUGAGGGACGAAGGGCUUUUGCUUGUAAACCUCUGUAGUGAGAGAAAAAAAUCCCAAUCUUUGGGACAUGAUGGUAUCUCAAAAGUAAGCCCCGGCUAACUACGUG
rnacentral:rRNA from 1 species